rnacentral:lncRNA from 1 species
CCACCUCCACCAUUCAGAAGACGUGUUAAAGUAAGUAUAAUAAUGGACUCUAAGCCUGCUUACAUAGCAUUUUGUAACACCCGGUUUUAAAGGACAAAGUCGGGUGCAUCUUAUACAUGCGCCAAGAAGACAACAUAUACAAUAACAGAGUGUAUAGAGAUAAAUGUCACAAAACAUCAGAGUAUUUAUUACAUAGCGGAAGACUUAUUACAAAAUAAAGGAAUAAAUGUAAAACGAACUAAGGAUCAUCGGCGCCAAUGUCAACUGAGAAACGCCACCUAGAUCAGAACGAACUCCUCAGUGUUAGGCGGCUCCUCUUCGACCACCUGUUCUUCUCCUGUGGGGGGGUGUGAGACAGCAAGAGUGAGCUCACAUACGUUCAUAGCUCAACAAGUCGUGGGGAAUAAUGUGGCAUGAACUCACCAAAGGUGGGAGCUCAUGUAGUGUAAGGCUGAUCAAUGAAAUAAAGGCUGAGGCUGAGCAUUGCUUUUAUAAGUUGGUCAAAAUUUUAUUAGCAAUUACUAAGUGUAAGUAAAUACCAAACCUUAAUAAUAAUAAAGAACAGUAAUAGUAAAAUAAUCCCAAAUGCGAUGCAAUCGUCAAAUUGAAUUUAAGUUCCAUAAAUUAAUCAUGUGAGGGUCCGAGCCGCUCAUGACCGUGAGCACGGCUAGUAUACCAGUUUUACACUCUGCAGAGGUUGCGCAUCUUUACCCACAAGUCAUGUUACCCAUCUGCCAAGAGAUGGCCAAUCCCAUACACCUCUACCGAGGAGGCGAGGCAGGGUAACACUACGAGGCCUUUACAAAGUUCCACUAGCUUCAGAAAUCCCGCUACAGUUUAUAGGAAGCUCUAGUGCAGGGUUCUUGCCUGACCGCCAUCGCAGCAAAAUCAAACAAGGACCUCCCUACCCUGACCACUCCCCUACUGCCCUUGCCCCUUUCGGGUAAGGAAGACCUCCACUAGCUUUCCUAGUUAAUCAGCCAAGGGCGUCCCAUUAAACCCUUGUGGUAGCACUGUUUUCCCGGGUGGUCGCUCCAUGUUCCCAUUAAUUUAAUGAUCUUAACAUGAACAGUAAUAAUAACAAGAUAAUAACAGAAUAAUCAUGAAUAGUGUAUCUCCAUACCCAAUCCACAUAAAGCAAUAACAAGUACUACCCAAAAAUAUUUCAGGGGUGAACAAGGUAUAGAGGUAAUCAAAACUGGGGUAACAUAAAGGAUGCCAUCAAAAUUAACCUAUGCAGAUCAUUAAAAUUAAUAAGAACAUGGCUGGGAAAAGUAAGUGAUCAAGGGCACAACUUGCCUGGCACUUGAGAUUCCAGUUACCAGGGUGAUCUUCAGGUGACUCGAAACCUCGCUGCUAGUCGUAGCAAUACAAACAGAUAUGGUAUAGACAAAAUUAACAUUACAUCAAACAUAAGAGAAACUGCAUAAUAAUAAUCUACGCGUUGCUACGAGACUAACGGAACUUGAACGGAUCAAAUCGGAGUUAAAAUGGAGAAGUUAUGAAUUUCUUAAGGUUUUAUGUACUCAAUACAAGAUUAACCAAGAGAUUAAUUUUAAUACACUUUUCAUGUUAAACCAGAGGUACUAUGUGAUAAACAAUAAUAUUAUAGAAUUAUAGAAAUUGGAAUUAUUUGAUUUGGAGCUAGAAUGGAUUUUCUAUGAAUUAAAUAAGUUUCUGAAAAUAUUUUAACACUAGAAAUCAUUUUCUAAUUAAAUUUCGGAAUUUUCCUAGAUUCUGGACUGCGCGCAUAAAUACAGAGAGUAUCAGGGGCUAGCACGCAAAAACUCUAAGACUCAGGUUCCAGUACACUGGACUGCGGGUUGAUUCCAGUGUUUAUCAGGGUCUCUUUUGCAAAAUGUCCUGGAUCAAAGGGUCACGGUGCGCUCAGGGCCAUGGGAUCAUAAUUCAACAAUUGGGAUUAAAUCCCCGGUUAUCCCAACCGGUACGCACCCACGGCCACACGCUUCGAGAUCUAUGGCCAAAAUUUGAUGAAGGCGUGAUUCAAUCUAAUCCCUCCGAUCUGAUCUUAACGUCACUAGACCAAAAAGCGAAGGGGGUACGUGACCUUUAAUCCCGACCGUCUAUCCACAUCAACGGUCCAGACAUCAUCCGGACGAGAUCUCGUCCGAUCCGUUCACUUAACGAUCGACGGCCACGGACAUAUCUUCAACCCUCAGCUCGGCAGGACGGUGGUGCUUCCGCUGCCGUGAAGGCUUAAGCGCCGACAAGCAACAACCCCAGCGCACGCACUACGACGAGAGGAGGAGCAAGAACAACAUGGACGGAAAUUUACCGGUGGUCGAGCAGCAGAGAACUGAGCACACGGUACAUUGCGGGACCCUGGCCUCCCGUCGCCCACAGCUCCAGGAACCGAAGCACGCGCAUCAGGAACUCCUCGCCGAGUACCGCCGAGAACCCCUGGAUCCACGCCCCGACGAGAAAUCAACGAGAUCCUGGUGCACCACUUCGACCGGGACGACUGAAAGGGAAAUGUGCCCUUGGGCCAUUUCUAAGUAUUUUGGUGAUUGAGUGUCAACACAAGUGCUUAAAUGUGAAUCAAUACCCAUGGAUGAACAAAGUGAAAAU